rnacentral:rRNA from 1 species
AUUGAACGCUGGCGGCAGGCCUAACACAUGCAAGUCGAACGGCAGCACAGAAGAGCUUGCUCUUUGGGUGGCGAGUGGCGGACGGGUGAGUAACACGUAGGAAUCUACCCAGUAGUGGGGGAUAACCUGGGGAAACCCAGGCUAAUACCGCAUACGCCCUGAGGGGGAAAGCGGGGGAUCUUCGGACCUCGCGCUAUUGGAUGAGCCUGCGUCGGAUUAGCUAGUUGGUGGGGUAAGGGCCCACCAAGGCGACGAUCCGUAGCUGGUCUGAGAGGAUGACCAGUCACACCGGAACUGAGACACGGUCCGGACUCCUACGGGAGGCAGCAGUGGGGAAUAUUGCACAAUGGGCGAAAGCCUGAUGCAGCGACGCCGCGUGAGGGAUGACGGCCUUCGGUUGGUUAAACCUACUUUCUAGCAGGGAAGAAGACGCAAGUGACGGUACCGUGCAGAAGAAGACACCGGCUAACUACGUGCCAGCAGCCGCGGUAAU